rnacentral:rRNA from 1 species
UACGUAGGGUGCGAGCGUUAAUCGGAAUUACUGGGCGUAAAGCGUGCGCAGGCGGUUCGUUAAGUCAGAUGUGAAAGCCCCGGGCUCAACCUGGGAACUGCAUUUGAAACUGGCGGGCUUGAGUGUGGCAGAGGGGGGUGGAAUUCCGCGUGUAGCAGUGAAAUGCGUAGAGAUGCGGAGGAACACCGAUGGCGAAGGCAGCCUUCUGGGCCAACACUGACGCUCAUGCACGAAAGCGUGGGGAGCAAACAGG